GACGAACGCUGGCGGCGUGCUUAACACAUGCAAGUCGAACGGAAAGGCCCUGCUUUUGUGGGGUGCUCGAGUGGCGAACGGGUGAGUAACACGUGAGUAACCUGCCCUUGACUUUGGGAUAACUUCAGGAAACUGGGGCUAAUACCGGAUAGGAGCUCCUGCUUCAUGGUGGGGGUUGGAAAGUUUCGGCGGUUGGGGAUGGACUCGCGGCUUAUCAGCUUGUUGGUGGGGUAGUGGCUUACCAAGGCUUUGACGGGUAGCCGGCCUGAGAGGGUGACCGGCCAGAUUGGGACGGAGAUACGGCACAGACUCCUACGGGAGGCAGAAGGGGGGAAUAUUGCACAAUGGGCGGAAGCCUGAUGCAGCAACGCCGCGUGGGGGAUGACGGCUUUCGGGUUGUAAACCGCUUUCGCCUGUGACGAAGGGUGAGUGAGGGUAAUGGGUAAAGAAGCACGGGCUAAGUAGGUG
rnacentral:rRNA from 1 species